rnacentral:lncRNA from 1 species
CCUGUAGUCCCAGCUACUCGGGGCUGAGGCAGGAGAAUGGCGUGAACCCGGGAGGCGGAGCUUGCAGUGAGCCGAGAUCCCGCCGCUGCAUUACGGCCUGGCCGAGAGAGCGAGACUCCGUCUAAAAAAAAAAAAAAAAAAAGUGAAGAUAUUGCCACAGGUCUCAGGCUGGAGUGCAGCGGCAGGAUCUCGACUCACUGCAAGCUCCGCCUACCAGAUUCACGCCAUUCUCCUGCCUCAGACCCCGGAGUAGCCGGGACUACAGGCGCCUGUGCAAUCUCUAUGGUAACCACAUUUCCCAGUUGACUACUACCGGUAAUAAAAUCAAAUGGAUUCAGUGCUCACAACUCUUCAGUCUUUGGGCUACUUUCCAUUCUUGAAUUUUUAGCUGAAUUCAUCUCUUUGGCUGGAUUUUGUGAAUCGGGCAGCCAUUAGAACCAAAACAGUUCUGAGGAGCUCCCAGGCUGCAAUGUGGUGCGAAAUGUUUUAUGGACAGAAAAUGGAAAUGAGGUGCAGAAAUUGGAGAUGAAAUUUCAGUCUUUAUUCAAGAUCAAGUGCAACUGUCUCUUUGAGGAAAGUCCUUUGACCGCCAUUUCUCCCCUUCAGAAGGCAAACACCUGGGGGAGAAGAUCUGCUUAAGGACCUGGUAACUGACAAAGAAUGGAAUGGGAGCGAGAACCGCCUAGCCAUCCCUUCUCCUUGCACAGUCAUGAAACAAAAGUUGAAAAGGAGCCUGGUUUUACUUGACCAGUCAUAAAUUACCAUAAAAUAAAAUGAGAUAUUAGGAACCUU